rnacentral:rRNA from 1 species
AAUCAACGCUGGCGGCGUGCCUAACACAUGCAAGUCGCACGAGAAAGUGGAGCAAUCCAUGAGUAAAGUGGCGCACGGGUGAGUAACACGUGAAUAAUCUACCUCCGAGUGGGGAAUAACUGAGAGAAAUCUUAGCUAAUACCGCAUAACACUUACGAGUCAAAGCAGCAAUGCGCUUGGAGAGGAGUUCGCGGCCGAUUAGUUAGUUGGCGGGGUAAUGGCCCACCAAGACGAUGAUCGGUAUCCGGCCUGAGAGGGCGCACGGACACACUGGAACUGAAACACGGUCCAGACUCCUACGGGAGGCAGCAGUGGGGAAUUUUGCGCAAUGGGGGAAACCCUGACGCAGCAACGCCGCGUGGAGGAUGAAGUAUCUUGGUACGUAAACUCCUUUCGAUUGGGAAGAUAAUGACGGUACCAAUAGAAGAAGCCCCGGCUAACUUCGUGCCAGCCGCCGCUGUAAU